rnacentral:rRNA from 1 species
UCAUUUAGAGGAAGUAAAAGUCGUAACAAGGUCUCCGUAGGUGAACCUGCGGAGGGAUCAUUACACAAAUAUGAAGGCGGGCUGGAACCUCUCGGGGUUACAGCCUUGCUGAAUUAUUCACCCUUGUCUUUUGCGUACUUCUUGUUUCCUUGGUGGGUUCGCCCACCACUAGGACAAACAUAAACCUUUUGUAAUUGCAAUCAGCGUCAGUAACAAAUUAAUAAUUACAACUUUCAACAACGGAUCUCUUGGUUCUGGCAUCGAUGAAGAACGCAGCGAAAUGCGAUAAGUAGUGUGAAUUGCAGAAUUCAGUGAAUCAUCGAAUCUUUGAACGCACAUUGCGCCCUUUGGUAUUCCAAAGGGCAUGCCUGUUCGAGCGUCAUUUGUACCCUCAAGCUUUGCUUGGUGUUGGGCGUCUUGUCUCUAGCUUUGCUGGAGACUCGCCUUAAAGUAAUUGGCAGCCGGCCUACUGGUUUCGGAGCGCAGCACAAGUCGCACUCUCUAUCAGCAAAGGUCUAGCAUCCAUUAAGCCUUUUUUUCAACUUUUGACCUCGGAUCAGGUAGGGAUACCCGCUGAACUUAAGCAUAUCAAUAAG